GACGAACGCUGGCGGCGUGCUUAACACAUGCAAGUCGUACGGUAAGGCCCUUUCGGGGGUACACGAGUGGCGAACGGGUGAGUAACACGUGAGUAACCUGCCCACAACUUUGGGAUAACGCUAGGAAACUGGUGCUAAUACUGGAUAUGUGCUCCUGCUGCAUGGUGGGGGUUGGAAAGCUCCGGCGGUUGUGGAUGGACUCGCGGCGUAUCAGCUUGUUGGUGGGGUAGUGGCCUACCAAGGCGGCGACGGGUAGCCGGCCUGAGAGGGUGACCGGCCAAAGCUGAACGGAGAGACGGUGAAGAAUAAUACGGGAGGCAGGAGUGGGGAAUAGUGGACAAUGGGCGAGAGCCUGAUCAAGACAUGCCGGGGGUGUGAAGAAGGGCGUAGGAUUGUAGAGCAUUUUAAGUUGGGAGGAAGGGCAGUAAGUUAAUAACUAGGUGGUUGGACGUGACCAAAAGAAUAAGCACCGGCGAACUUCGUG
rnacentral:rRNA from 1 species